rnacentral:rRNA from 1 species
UACGUAGGGGGCAAGCGUUGUCCGGAUUUAUUGGGCGUAAAGGGCGCGUAGGCGGCCAGCACAAGUCAGUUGUGAAAUCUCCGAGCUUAACUCGGAAAGGUCAACUGAUACUGUGCGGCUAGAGUGCAGAAGGGGCAACUGGAAUUCUUGGUGUAGCGGUGAAAUGCGUAGAUAUCAAGAGGAACACCUGCGGCGAAGGCGGGUUGCUGGGCUGACACUGACGCUGAGGCGCGAAAGCUAGGGGAGCGAACGGG